GAUGAACGCUGGCGGCGUGCUUAAUACAUGCAAGUCGAACGGAGACAUUAGCAAUAAUGUCUUAGUGGCGAACGGGUGAGUAACGCGUUGGUGACCUGCCCCGAAGAGAGGGAUAACAGUUCGAAAGGAUUGCUAAUACCUCAUGUGGUUAUGGUGUUUAGAAAGCUAUAACUAAAGGAGCAAUCCGCUUUGGGAGGGGCCUGCGUCCCAUCAGCUAGUUGGUAGGGUAACGGCCUACCAAGGCUACGACGGGUAGGGGGCCUGAGAGGGUGGCCCCCCACACUGGCACUGAAACACGGGCCAGACACCUACGGGAGGCUG
rnacentral:rRNA from 1 species